UGUGCGUUUUUUAAGUUCUGCAUGGAUUCCUUGGUGCCCUUCAGAAAGGUGGUAUGACUACUCUCCAGUAGAGAUGCAGUAUUCUCAGUCAGGCUGACACCUCCGAUGCCAAGUUUCUAGGGGAAACGAAAUUCUACUGCAAAGAUAGUAAGCAGCAGAGAGCCACUGAGGAUGGAAGCGCCAUAGAGAGUGGGACGUCCCACCCGGCACCACUCUGCCCAGCACUCAGAUGGAUUCCUGAGUUCUUCCAGAUUGCUCAUUGCUAAGCUAUCAAGUUCCAGGUUCUGCAGCCUUGCUGCUCAUUGGUGGGGAGUUCCUGGGCUGCUCCAACCAGAAAGAGGCUGCAGAGAAAUGCACUCACCCUGAGAGUUGGGAAUUUUCUAAUAGUUAACAUUGUGCAAAGGUCUUUGUCUAGCUCUGCGGAAUUUGCUCUACUCUUGAAC
rnacentral:lncRNA from 1 species